UACGUAGGGACCGAGCGUUGUCCGGAAUCAUUGGGCGUAAAGAGCGUGUAGGCGGCUAUUUAAGUCCUGCGUGAAAUCCUGCGGCUCAACCGCAGACGGUCGUGGGAAACUGGAUGGCUAGAGUGCGGGAGAGGAGAGUGGAAUUCCCGGUGUAGCGGUGAAAUGCGCAGAUAUCGGGAGGAAUACCCGUGGCGAAGGCGGCCCCCUGGGCCGAACCUGACGCUGAGACGCGAAGGCUAGGGGAGCGAACGGG
rnacentral:rRNA from 1 species